rnacentral:rRNA from 1 species
UACGGGAGGCAGCAGUGGGGAAUAUUGCACAAUGGGCGCAAGCCUGAUGCAGCCAUGCCGCGUGUAUGAAAAAGGCCUUCGGGUUGUAAAGUACUUUCAGUCGUGAGGAAGGUGUUAAGGUUAAUAACCUUAGCAAUUGACGUUAGCGACAGAAGAAGCACCGGCUAACUCCGUGCCAGCAGCCGCGGUAAUACGGAGGGUGCGAGCGUUAAUCGGAAUUACUGGGCGUAAAGGGCACGCAGGCGGUUAAUUAAGUUGGAUGUGAAAUCCCCGGGCUUAACCUGGGAAUGGCAUUCAAGACUGGUUAGCUAGAGUCUUGUAGAGGGGGUAGAAUUCCAUGUGUAGCGGUGAAAUGCGUAGAGAUGUGGAGGAAUACCGGUGGCGAAAGGCGGCCCCUGGACAAAGACUGACGCUCAUGUGCGAAAGCGUGGGGAGCAAACGAGGGAUUAGAUA